UGCAAAUGAUGCUUCAGUUAAAGAUAUGGAGAUAAUGUUGAAAAACAUCGAGUCAUGGUAUCCCUGCCAUCGAAUGGACAGUGUUAACGGACUUUAGUGUCUUACAGAUUAGAUAUUUAAGCUGAUGCAGUUGAUAUUAUUAAGGUUAUCAUGUAAAAAGAGCUCUACAUAUUGAUAAUGCAUCAUAAUUAUUUACUUAUGCCUUGACAUGGAAGGCCACACUGGUGAAAAUAUGAGUCAAAAUGUCAACUCUACGUAAUAGCCACAUGCCAAAUAUUUAAUUGGUA
rnacentral:misc_RNA from 1 species